rnacentral:rRNA from 1 species
GACGUAGGGGGCGAGCGUUGUCCGGAUUUAUUGGGCGUAAAGAGCUCGUAGGCGGUUUGUCGCGUCGGCCGUGAAAUCUCCACGCUUAACGUGGAGCGUGCGGUCGAUACGGGCAGACUUGAGUUCGGUAGGGGAGACUGGAAUUCCUGGUGUAGCGGUGAAAUGCGCAGAUAUCAGGAGGAACACCGGUGGCGAAGGCGGGUCUCUGGGCCGAUACUGACGCUGAGGAGCGAAAGCGUGGGGAGCGAACAGG